rnacentral:misc_RNA from 1 species
AACGAGGCCGACCUGCGGCUGAGUUACCUGCGGAGGGAUCAUUACCGAGUUUACAACUCCCAAACCCAAUGUGAACCAUACCAAACUGUUGCCUCGGCGGGGUCACGCCCCGGGUGCGUCGCAGCCCCGGAACCAGGCGCCCGCCGGAGGGACCAACCAAACUCUUUACUGUAGUCCCCUCGCGGACGUUAUUUCUUACAGCUCUGAGCAAAAAUUCAAAAUGAAUCAAAACUUUUAACA